AAAGGGUCUUGGGUUUAUAGCUCUAGAAUUUACAUGUGAAAGGGUCUUGGGCCAUGGAGUAGGGUGGGAUACAGUGACUUAGGUGUGGGUUUGAUUGUUUAAGUAAAAACAAUGUCUUCCAGAAAGAUUCCUCCAUACCAUGCCUGCGAUCUAUAGGAGGGUGAUUAAAGGUGGUGUCAGGUCUGCCAGCCUUUACUUCUACUGAUAUGCAAUGCGGAAGUCAAGGGGAAGGUGGGCUUAGAUGCUGAAGGUGAUUAAGAGUCUCCUCCCUCAGUUCAACCAGAGGAUGACAUGGAAAGCCCAGAUCCUGCUGACGGGCUGUAUGUCAGCUCUGAUGACCACAAGAGCACAGAGUAUAGCAGAAGUUCCCAUGGAUGAUCUCCCAACCUGAGAAAACACAAUCAAUCCCAAGAAGAUCCAAACUCUCCAGGCCUAAGGUAUGAUCAAUCCCUCCAUUGAGAAAGCAGCAGAGACACAGAUGACAGUGGAGAAAGACGAGUCGGAAGAGGCAGCACCGGUAGCAAACACACUAGACAUCAGUGUCGUUGAGAGACUCACCUUUCAGUGUAGCAGGAGCUUGCUCUGAUUAGCAGAAUUGUGUCAGUCUGUCAACACCUAUACAUGGUGAUCGUCCAGUCUUAAGAGUCUAUCCUAAUUUUGUCAUUUGCCUUCCCCUCUAGGAGGGGUCCCUAACCCUAGCACUGUGGACCCAUACCAGUCAAAGGCCUGUUAGGAACCAGGCUGCACAGCAGGAGUGAGCAAGCUGGCAAUACUGGGCUCUUUGAGUUGGAGGCGGCAGUGUUAAGAAAGGUCUCUCUGAGGAGGUGACAUUUAAGCUGAGACUUGAAGAAGUGAAGGCAUCAGCCAGGCAGAUUCUGGGGGAAGCACAUUCUAGAGAGAACACAAUAGUAGUUGCCAUGGCCCUGCAAGAAGCAUGCUGGUGUGCUGGAGGAACAGCAGGUGUCUUGUGGCUGAGCCAGUAGGCAAAUGAUGUCAGCCAGUGGAGAUGCCUGCCGUGCUGUAAUCCUCACCCACUGGAGGAUAAGAAGUGACAAACAGGGUCUGGCUCUCUCCCCAGGGCUGGAGUGCAGUGGUGUGAUCUGGGCUCAUUGCAGCCUCCACCUUCUGAGUUUGAGUGAUUCUCCUGCCUCAGCUUCCAGAACAGCUGGGACCACAGGGCAGACCUCACCCGUGCUCCAGAAGCAAGCCUGUAUAUUAGCAGAACUUCCUCCUCCUCCUCCUCCUCAUGCUUCUUCCUUUUUUAAAAGUUGAGGUAUAAAUUCUAUACCAAAAGGAACCAGGAAUGUUUGGAGCAAUGGCUGAUUCCAGAUUUGGGUAAGUGAAAUAUAGAGGCACAUCUAGUUUGUCAAAAGUGAGUACACAAAAAAUGAUGGGGGCAUGUCAAAAGGACACAGGAGCCAGCUUGAAGGGGCUCCCAUUGGCCAAAUUUGGCAGAAUCUGAGCAUCAAAUAGAACAAUGGUAGUAAGAGAUUACAGCUCAUAGCAUGACAUUUUUUAUCAAUACUGAUACAAAUAAGUGUAGAAUUGUGACUAAGACAUGUAAAAGGAAUGAUGGAAUUAGAAAAGUCACUAUUUGACAGCUGUCAUAGU
rnacentral:lncRNA from 13 species